GAAGGCUUUGGGUUUAAAGCUCUUUUGUAGGGGAAGAUAAUGACUGUACCCUAAGAAUAAGGUCCGGCUAACUUCGUGCCAGCAGCCGCGGUAAUACGAAGGGACCUAGCGUAGUUCGGAAUUACUGGGCGUAAAGCGCGCGUAGGCCGUUGAGUUAGUUAAUUGUGAAAUCCCAAAGCUUAACUUUGGAACUGCAAUUAAAACUGCUCGACUAGAGUUUGAUAGAGGAAAGCGGAAUACAUAGUGUAGAGGUGAAAUUCGUAGAUAUUAUGUAGAACACCAGUUGCGAAGGCGGCUUUCUGGGUCAACACUGACGCUGAGGCGCGAAAGUAUGAGGUAGCAAAGAGGAUUAGAUACCCUCGUAGUCCAUACCAUAAACGAUGAUUGCUAGAUGUUGGAAAUUUAUUUUCAGUAUCGCAGCUAACGCAUUAAGCAAUCCGCCUGGGGAGUACGACCGCAAGGUUAAAACUCAAAUGAAUUGACGGGGACCCGCACAAGCGGUGGAUGAUGUGGUUUAAUUCGAUGCAACGCGAAAAAGCUUACCUACCCUUGACAUGUCAAGAAUCUUGCAGAGAUGUGAGAGUGCUCGAAAGAGAACUUGAACCAGGGUGCUGCAUGGCGUCGUCAGCUCGUGUCGUGAGAUGUUGGGUUAAGUCCCGCAAGAGCGCCACCUUGUCAUCGGUUGCUACGAGAUGGCCUCUGAUUGGACUGGCGGGUGACAAACCGGAGGAG
rnacentral:rRNA from 1 species